GAAUUAGAGAGAUUCAAAGUAUAAGAGACAAGCCUAUGUGGCCUGACAUUAUGGGCAGUUUCUGAGAGCUGAGGACAGAUCCCAGCCAACAGAGCAAGAACAUAGGGACCUCUGUCAACUCACUGCAAGGAAAUAAAUUUUUCACUAAUUUAAGGGAGUUUGGAAGUUGAUCUUUCCCUAACUGAAUUUCCAGGAUAAGGAUGUACUGAGUCAACAUUGUGAUUUCAGCCUCACGAGAACCUGAGCAGAGGACCCAGCUAAAUUAUGCAAAAUUUCUGACCCACAGAAACAGUAAGAUAAUAAAUGUUUGUUGUUUUAGGGUAACUUUGUGCAAUUUUAAGCUAACUUUGUGCAUAACAACAUAAAAUAGACACAAGUGGUUCUUUUAGUUUAACAUAUAACUCGAGGAUAUCUUGUAUGUAUCAGGCACUGUGAUAGAUAAUGAUGUCACAAAGUUGAAGAAGACAAGUCAGUUUGUGAAAAUGUUAACUAAAUAAAUCUUGUGCACUAAUGGUAUGGUAGAAAAUAGGUGAAAAGGAGCGGGUAAGUGAAGCUUUGGAAGCUGGAUGUUCUAACAAACUAUUUUCCCAGGAACAGAUGCCAGAGGAAGGGGGCAUUCCAAGAGAAGACCUCGUAGAAAGGUCUGCACUUGAUCUCAUAUAUUUGUCUGUUGGAAACCAAUUUUAAACUGGGUACAACUAACAGCUUUCCCACUGUGUCGAGAUCUGCAAUGUGCUAUCUAUAUAUCUGUCCAAUAAUUCAAUAUCUUUCAGAGUGUGGUCCAUGCUCUGCACACCCAGCUGUUUUGCUUGUCUUGACGAGGAAGUAGAGAAAUUAACUAAAUAGAAACGUUGUAGAGGGUCAAAUAUCUUUUAAGAAAUUACAAAGACCAGGAAAGUUAUUUAUAUUAACAGCAGCAGUUGUCAAUACUAACAAUAGCAGAAUGAGUUUUGCAAGAUACUGCUAUAGUGUUGGUUCUCUAAUUAAUGUGGAAAAGAAUCUAUUAAGAACUUGAUAAUAAUAAAACUUUUCUAAGCCCCAAACUAGACCUACUGAAUCAAAAUUUUAGGAAGUGGAACCUAGUAAAUUCAUUGUUUUAAAGCUUGCCAGUGAUAAUUUGCCACACAAAAUUAGAGAACCAGUGCUAUCUUUUAAAUGUCAUUCCAUUUUUGCUAAUGUAGGUAACUUCCUAGGUCUCUAUUAUUCCUUGAGAAUUUUACACAUGUCCACUCAGCUAAUUUCCCUCUUUCCUCUCCAGCAAGAGACAGAUUCCUGAACUCCUAUUUUCAAUAAGACCUGACUUAGAUCUGCUAAAUGUUUCUGUCAGAUGUCAUUGAGUCAGACCAAAAUUGCUUUGGUCUCCUGAGGAAUGACCAUUGCACACGUAUCAAUCUACAUGCUUACUUUGACAGGACAACAUUUAUUAACUCAUGUCACAGGGAAAUAAAGGACGAUGACAAUAGAGUCCCAAGGGAGAAAGAUGAAUAUAUUAACAGUAGGGCUUAGCUCUAAGAGAGAGAAAGGGAGAAACUCCCCAGACCCAAAGGUGACAAAGCAUAAAAAGAAAAACAGAGGAGCUGUUGGAAGUACGCAGAACAUUGAUUAUCUUCCAUUGUUUCUGUUUACAUCAUAGAGAGCAGUAUUGCAUGUAACUCUCAGUCUUGCAUCAAGAACAAUCUCCUCUUAGGUUUCUGUCAACCAAGUGUCUUUGUUCAGUGUUUCCUCAUGAUUGGACCUAAGUCCAAUCCAGAGGAAAUAUCCUCCAGUAUAUCACAGAAGUGAUACUGUGUUCCUUCACUGCAUCCUACCAGGUGCCAGAUAAUGUUGAUGCGUCCCAUUACUAGUAGUCUUAUUUUCAUCAUUCAAUCAUUAAGAUGAAAUCUGAUAGACUAUAAAGUUACAUUUCCCCAUGUGUAAUAAACAUGUUUUCCCUUUGUAAUAUUUUAUAUUACAACAUAUUAAUUAUUAAUAAAAGUAAAGAAAUAUUUUCAGGCUAUAUACAAUCCUGUUCUUAUCCCACUGUCUCCCAGCAUUUUAGCAUCUAUUGAUUUUAUUUUCCUUGCUUAAACUUUUUAUAUCGUUUCCCAAUAGUGAUUAUUUGAUUCUGCCAUUUAGUUAUAAUUGUUAGCUGGAUCUUAUUGUCAGAAAGAGUAUUUGCCCCUCUUCCGGUUAUUUAUUUACUUAUUUGUGGAUUCCUCAUUUAUUUGACAUUAUAAUCCAUUCUUAUCAUUACAUGUUUUCUCCUGAAAUUACUUUACAAUUGGCUGUUUGAGCUUCUUUCAUGUAACUCCUGUGUCUUUUUGUUGUCAUGUCUCCAUCAUUUUUUAGUGUUUCUCACUGAUGGAGUUGUUGUAUGUUCAUCUUUUACUUUCCCUGUCCCAUCCCUGGAUCAACCAUUUUUCAAAAAGUUCUGGAUUCUUUCAGGGGAGAGUAUAAUUAGCAACCAAGAUCUAUAUUCUAGGUGUGCUCAUUACUACUGAUGUGUUGCUCUUCAGGUGCCUUCACAAAGUACAGGACUGGAAUAAAUAUAUAUUUGUAUGUGCACAUAUUUACGUUAUAAACAUCCAUCUCUCUAUCCAUAUCCAUAUUUCUAUCUUUAUACAGUUAAACCCAUGUGAUUAUACCAGUAACCCUAUUUGUAGUGCAACAAUGCAGAGUUCAUUCUAGAUGUGCCUCUUCACCUAUUUGUACUUCUGUUUUCCAAGGGUUAAGAAGCCUGGAUCCCAUUGUGCUCAAUAUAGCUUUUUUUGUUUGUUUGCCUUAGCCACCCUAUGUGUAGCAACAAGGCCAUCAACAGGUUUUGUGGGGUCCCAGAAAAAUAUUUUCGUGGCUUUUGUCUUUAUAAAUGUUUUGAUUAAAAUGAUUUAGAAACUUACAGAUUCAUGUAAAGUAUGGAGGCAUAUCAAUAAAUGUUUGGAAAAAUGAGUAGAAGCGUAUAUGUAUUUGUUUAUUGUCAGAUCAGUACAUGUGAAUAUUCAUGAUGUCUAGACACUAUCGCUUUCUGUACAGAUCCAGAAACCAGCUUUUUCUAUUUUGUAUUGUCAAAUGUACCAUUCCUGGCUAAUAUCUCCCUGAAAAUAACAGCAGUGCUGUUAUUACUUGUAAUGCCUUCUGAACCUAUCUGUAUUGAAAUGAUAUUAAUAAUCUUCCUCCUGCAGUCUCCUAAUAACAAUUAUUUAUCACUGAUUAUAUUAUUUCUCAUGACACUGCAUCAUCCACCUUGCAGUCCAUGAACUUUGGCUUCCAGUGACUCUUCCAAAAUUUUUUAUUACUAUGUUUCAUUGAUAGUGACUAUAAAUGCGAGUUUUGCCUGCAGUAUUCAGACAAAAUGUGAAUGAUAGUUCAUUUUCUGAUUAUGUUGACUUUACCAUACAUAAUUUUAUAGUAAAGAUGUCAAACAGCACAUCCUUCAACCUAUCUUCUCUUGAACUCUGUUAUUAUUGCAUUCAUAGAAUAUAAUCUCUUUCAAUUUUGACCACAUUCCCUACCUUCCUACCCUCCAGGCAAUAGUACUAGGUGGCAGAGUAGGCAAGAGUUCCUAGGCAGAGCUAAAAGAGUGAUUUCAUUUGCACAGGGAAUAUUUAUCUUUCCUUUGGUAUGGCUUAGACUCAUAGAAAAAAGCAUAUCAUUGGCAAAUCAGUGGUAAUGGAGCACAUUGAUUGAAAUAAGUUGUAGAUGGUCAUGUAAAGCCUCCAAGGAUAAGCUGAGACAUGCCUUGAGGGUUGCCUGACAUAUGAUGGGGAACCUGUGAAGAGUACCAGUGGUAGUAAACUCCCCAGGAACAGGAUGACUACUGCCAUCUUCUCAGCCUUCAGGACCUGCAGACCACAGGCAGCACAGCAACGGGAUACCAAAAGGGCAAGAGUAGGCAUACUGGUCACACAUUUGGCUAUAGCCCGUGAACUGUGCCCGUUGCCCAAAGUCCUGAACUCUCCUCUGUUGAGAAGAAAGAACUCAGUAUCUCAGCAUCUUUCCUGCACACCAAUCUUCUGCUCUCUGUUAAAAGAAAUACAGCCCCUGCCAGUGGGAGUGAUCCUUGCCAGUCAUCUUUCUGAAACCAUGGAGAAGUUAUGGGGCCAGAAACCAUCCCAUAGGCAGGAGUCUUCGUGGUCCUCGGGGCGUUUACUCAAUCUCUU
rnacentral:lncRNA from 1 species